rnacentral:ncRNA from 1 species
UUCUUCCUUGUCAUGGGGAUGCAUAAUGUCCAGUGAACGUCUAGUGAGGGCAUUGAUGCUGACAAACCCAUUACGAAAGAAAGGAUUCGUCCUUUUCUUUUAAGCAACCCCCGGCCGCUGGUUCGCUUUCAAACAGCUGAUCUGGCUGGUCGGAAUUUUUGAAGCG